CCUACGGGAGGCAGCAGUGGGGAAUAUUGGACAAUGGGGGGAACCCUGAUCCAGCCAUGCCGCGUGUGUGAAGAAGGCCCUCGGGUUGUAAAGCACUUUCAGUGAGGAAGAACGCCUGGUGGUUAAUACCCAUCAGGAAAGACAUCACUCACAGAAGAAGCACCGGCUAACUCCGUGCCAGCAGCCGCGGUAAUACGGAGGGUGCGAGCGUUAAUCGGAAUUACUGGGCGUAAAGCGCGCGUAGGUGGCUAGAUAAGCCGGUUGUGAAAGCCCCGGGCUCAACCUGGGAACGGCAUCCGGAACUGUCAAGCUAGAGUGCAGGAGAGGAAGGUAGAAUUCCCGGUGUAGCGGUGAAAUGCGUAGAGAUCGGGAGGAAUACCAGUGGCGAAGGCGGCCUUCUGGACUGACACUGACACUGAGGUGCGAAAGCGUGGGUAGCAAACAGGAUUAGAUACCCGGGUAGUC
rnacentral:rRNA from 1 species